AUGAGAAUUGUACUAGACUCACGGAGGUGUGUGGAUGAGAAUUGUACUAGACUCACGGAGGUGUGUGGAUGAGAAUUGUACUAGACUCACGGAGGUGUGUGGAUGAGAAUUGUACUAGACUCACGGAGGUGUGUGGAUGAGAAUUGUACUAGACUCACUGAGGUGUGUGGAUGAGAAUUGUACUAGACUCACGGAGGUGUGUGGAUGAGAAUUGUACUAGACUCACGGAGGUGUGUGGAUGAGAAUUGUACUAGACUCACGGAGGUGUGUGGAUGAGAAUUGUACUAGACUCACGGAGGUGUGUGGAUGAGAAUUGUACUAGACUCACGGAGGUGUGUGGAUGAGAAUUGUACUAGACUCACGGAGGUGUGUGGAUGAGAA